CUAAACUGAGGAAAGUCGGCCGAAACUGAUCGACUCGAGGAACGUAGAGGGAAGCGGAACUCUCGGAGUAGCGGUGAAAUGCGUAGAGACCGAGAGGUACCCCGAUGGUGAAGACAGCUUCCUGGGCGUUUCCUGACGCUGAAGCACUAAGGCCAGGGGAGCGAAGGGGAUUAGAUACCCCCGUAGUCCUGGCUUCAAACGAUGUGGGCUUGGUGUCGGCCCCCGACAGAGGGUCGUUGCCGGAGCUAACGUGCUAAGCCCACCGCCUGGGGAUUACGUCCGCAAGGAUGAAACUCAAGGGAAUUGACGGGGGCCCACACAACCGGUGGAGCACGUGGUUUAAUUCGAUGAUAAGCGAAGAACCUUACCAGGGCUUGACCUGGCGGCAGUAGGACCCCGAAAGGGGAACGACCUCAAGCUUUGCUUGAGGAGC
rnacentral:rRNA from 1 species